CCGUGAGGAGUGACGGCCGUGUCGUUGUAUACGUCUUUCAGCACGCAAUAAGCGAGAGUGACGGCGCCUGCGGAAUAAGCACCGGUUAACUACGUGCCAUCAGCCGCGGUAAUACGUAGGGUGCUGAGCGUUGUCCGGAAUUAUUGCACGUAUCUAGCUCGUAGGGGUCGUGUCCCGUCUUAUGUAAAACCUCGGGGCUUAACCCUGGAGUUUGCAUUCCGAUACGGGCUCGCUGUAGUUCGGUAGGGGAGAUCGGAAUUCCUGGUGUAGCGGUGAAAUGGGCGGAUUUCAAGAGGAACACGGGGGGCGAAUGUGGGAUCUCUAGGCCGAUACUGGCGCUGAAGGAGCGAAAGCGUGGGGAGCGAACAGGAUUAGAUACCCUGGUAGUCCACGCCGUAAACGUUGGGAACUAGGUGUGGGCGACAUUCCACGUCGUCCGUGCCGCAGCUAACGCAUUAAGUUCCCCGCUGGGGAGUACGGCCGCAAGGCUAAACUCAAAGGAAUUGACGGGGGCCCGCACAAGCGGCGGAGCAUGUGGCUUAAUUCGACGCAACGCGAAGAACCUUACCAAGGCUUGACAUACGCCGGAAAUCUCUGGAGACAGGGGCUCCCUUUGGGCCGGUGUACAGGGGGUGCAUGGCUGUCGUCAGCUCGUGUCGUGAGAUGUUGGGUUAAGUCCCGCAACGAGCGCAACCCUUGUCCUGUGUUGCCAGCACGCCCUUCGGGGUGGUGGGGACUCACGGGAGACUGCCGGGGUCAACUCGGAGGAAGGUGGGGACGACGUCAAGUCAUCAUGCCCCUUAUGUCUUGGGCUGCACACG
rnacentral:rRNA from 1 species